rnacentral:tRNA from 1 species
AAGUUUGAAGUAUAAAUACAUUCAGUUUCGACCUGAAAAAAGGAUACAUUUAAUCCCUUACUUA